rnacentral:rRNA from 1 species
AUGUAUCAUCAUCACUCCUCCUCUUCUUCUUCCUAUACCUGUCAGGGAAGCAAUGGCUUCCUCCCCUCCCAACCGUCAGCGUCGAGCUACGGUGAUCUGUUGCAAGCAGAGCAGCACUGCUACUACUACUCCCAUCAGCAGGGUCAGGCGCCGCCGUUCCGCCAUGUGCUGAGCACGGGAGACCUCGGGGCGCCAACGCCGGCGCCGGCAGCAGCAGCGGCUGGGAGGUACACCACGGAGGAGCGGCGGGAGCGCAUCGAAAAGUACAGGAGCAAGCGCAACCAGCGCAACUUCCAAAAGAAGAUCACAUACGCUUGCCGGAAGACCCUCGCGGACAGCCGGCCGAGGGUGAAGGGCCGCUUCGCGCGCAACGUCGACGACGACGCAGUCGCAGAUCAGCCGGAGUUCACAGCGGCGGAGGUGUCCUCGAUGAUGAGCGAAGCCAAUGUUGUCGUGGGUGCCACGGACGCCGCCGCCAGCAGCAGCAGCAGCAGCAUGCCGGAGUGGUGGCCGGCAAUGCAAGGCGCGCUGGCCAUGGAGGACGAUGAGCUUUACAUCGCCGUCUCCUCCAUCAACCUCUACUAG